rnacentral:rRNA from 1 species
UUGGUUAAGUUAGAAAGGGCGCACGGUGGAUGCCUUGGCACUAGGAGCCGAAGAAGGACGGGACUAACACCGAUAUGCUUUGGGGAGCUGUACGUAAGCGUUGAUCCAGAGAUUUCCGAAUGGGGGAACCCACUAUCUUUAGUCGGAUAGUAUCCUUACGUGAAUACAUAGCGUGAGGAAGGCAGACCCAGGGAACUGAAACAUCUAAGUACCUGGAGGAAGAGAAAGAAAAAUCGAUUUCCUGAGUAGCGGCGAGCGAAACGGAAAGAGCCCAAACCAAGAAGCUUGCUUCUUGGGGUUGUAGGACACUCUAUACGGAGUUACAAAAGAAAGUUAUAAAUGAAGCGGUCUGGAAAGGCCCGCCAAAGACGGUAACAGCCCGGUAGUUGAAAUAGCUUUCCCUCCAGAGUGGAUCCUGAGUACGGCGGAACACGUGAAAUUCCGUCGGAAUCCGGGAGGACCAUCUCCCAAGGCUAAAUACUCCCUAGUGACCGAUAGUGAACCAGUACCGUGAGGGAAAGGUGAAAAGCACCCCGGAAGGGGAGUGAAACAGUUCCUGAAACCGUGUGCCUACAAGUAGUUAGAGCCCGUUAAUGGGUGAUAGCGUGCCUUUUGUAGAAUGAACCGGCGAGUUACGAUUUGUUGCAAGGUUAAGCGGAAAAAGCGGAGCCGUAGCGAAAGCGAGUCUGAAUAGGGCGCAUAAGUAACAGGUCGUAGACCCGAAACCAGGUGAUCUACCCAUGUCCAGGAUGAAGGUAAGGUAAUACUUACUGGAGGUCCGAACCCACGCACGUUGAAAAGUGCGGGGAUGAGGUGUGGGUAGCGGAGAAAUUCCAAUCGAACUUGGAGAUAGCUGGUUCUCUCCGAAAUAGCUUUAGGGCUAGCCUCGAGGUAAAGAGUCAUGGAGGUAGAGCACUGUUUGGACUAGGGGCCCUUCUCGGGUUACCGAAUUCAGAUAAAC